rnacentral:tRNA from 1 species
CUAAGGAAGCUAGAAGUGAUGGAGAGUAGAGAUACUAAGAGAAGUCACAAAAGCAAGCGGAACGACACUGAGAAACUUUGUUUAGUUUUGAGGGUAGUACCUCAAAGAUUUAAAUAAAAAAAACCAAGCGUUAGUCGGGCCUAUAGCUCAGCUGGUUUAGAGCGCACGCCUGAUAAGCGUGAGGUCGAUGGUUCAAGUCCAUUUAGGCCCAUUGACAUAACGGCUAAAAAGCGAUAAAGUUAUGUCUGGCUGAAAUAAAAGACCUUGGGGGCUUAGCUCAGUUGGGAGAGCACCUGCUUUGCACGCAGGAGGUCAUCGGUUCGAACCCGUUAGCCUCCAUUGAUCCGAAAGGUCAAAGAGCUAGUACAUUGAAAACUGAAUAUAAUCCAAGCAAAAAACCGAGAAAAUCAAAGAGAACAGAUUGCAAGGCGACCGAGAAGAGAAUUCUUGAGUAA